UUAGAGGCUGUGAUGGGGAAGAGUAGGGCAAUGUCAGUUGCCAGAGAGCUGCCGGAUGGUGCGAGGCAGUGGCUGAGUUGUUGUGAAAAUCACCCCUGAGCCUUCCGCCCAAUCCCAUGGAAGAUGGGUAGUAGGUGAGAACGGUUGACCCUCCGUUAACGGGGUGGAUAUUCGGCUGAAGUGAAUUCGGCCCGAUGUCUCAGAGGGGUUCCCCGUUGAGGGAGCAAAUUAGAGUGGUACCGCGAAAGCUUUUUACGCCUUCGUCUCUUAU
rnacentral:ncRNA from 1 species